CCUACGGGAGGCAGCAGUGAGGAAUAUUGGUCAAUGGGCGCGAGCCUGAACCAGCCAAGUAGCGUGAAGGAUGAAUGCCCUACGGGUUGUAAACUUCUUUUAUAAAGGAAUAAAGUGAGGCACGUGUGGCUUUUUGUAUGUACUUUAUGAAUAAGGAUCGGCUAACUCCGUGCCAGCAACCGCGGUAAUACGGAGGAUCCGAGCGUUAUCCGGAUUUAUUGGGUUUAAAGGGAGCGUAGAUGGUUUGUUAAGUCAGUGGUGAAAGUUUGCGGCUCAACCGUAAAAUUGCAAUUGAUACUGGCAGUCUUGAGUACAGUUGAGGUAGGCGGAAUUCGUGGUGUAGCGGUGAAAUGCAUAGAUAUCACGAAGAACUCCGAUUGCGAAGGCAGCUUACUAAGCUGCCACUGACAUUGAUGCUCGAAAGUGUGGGGAUCAAACAGGAUUAGAUACCCUGGUAGUC
rnacentral:rRNA from 1 species